UACGGGGGGGGGCAAGCGUUGUUCGGAAUUACUGGGCGUAAAGGGCUCGUAGGUGGCCAACUAAGUCAGACGUGAAAUCCCUCGGCUUAACCGGGGAACUGCGUCUGAUACUGGUUGGCUUGAGAUUGGGAGAGGGACGCGGAAUUCCAGGUGUAGCGGUGAAAUGCGUAGAUAUCUGGAGGAACACCGGUGGCGAAGGCGGCGUCCUGGACCAACACUGACACUGAGGAGCGAAAGCCAGGGGAGCAAACGGG
rnacentral:rRNA from 1 species